rnacentral:rRNA from 1 species
AGCAGCCGCGGUAAUUCCAGCUCCAAUAGCGUAUAUUAAAGUUGCUGCAGUUAAAAAGCUCGUAGUUGAAUUUCGGGACCGAUAUAUCGGUCGUGCCUCGGUACGUACUGGUAUUUUCGGUUUCUCCCUUCUGAUGAACCUUGAUGUCAUUAAUUUGGUGUCUUGGGGAAUCAGGACUGUUACUUUGAAAAAAUUAGAGUGUUUAAAGCAGGCUCACGCUUGAAUACAUUAGCAUGGAAUAAUGAAAUAGGACGUUUGAUUCUAUUUUGUUGGUUUCUAGGAUCGACGUAAUGAUUAAUAGGGAUAGUUGGGGGCAUUAGUAUUCAAUUGUCAGAGGUGAAAUUCUUGGAUUUAUUGAAGACUAACUACUGCGAAAGCAUUUGCCAAGGAUGUUUUCAUUAAUCAAGAACGAAGGUUAGGGGAUCGAAGACGAUCAGAUACCGUCGUAGUCUUAACCAUAAACUAUGCCGACUAGGGAUCGGAUGAUGUUAAUUUUUAUAAUGACCCAUUCGGCGCCUUA